CUGCGAACGGCUCAUUAAAUCAGUUAUCGUUUAUUUGAUGGUACCUUACUACUUGGAUAACCGUGGUAAUUCUAGAGCUAAUACAUGCUAAAAGUCCCGACCUCCGGAAGGGACGUAUUUAUUAGAUAAAAAACCAAUGCCUUCGGGCUUCUUGGUGAUUCAUGAUAACUUUACGAAUCGCAUGGCCUUGUGCCGGCGAUGGUUCAUUCAAAUUUCUGCCCUAUCAACUUUCGAUGGUAGGAUAGUGGCCUACCAUGGUUUCAACGGGUAACGGGGAAUUAGGGUUCGAUUCCGGAGAGGGAGCCUGAGAAACGGCUACCACAUCCAAGGAAGGCAGCAGGCGCGCAAAUUACCCAAUCCCGACACGGGGAGGUAGUGACAAUAAAUACUGAUACAGGGCCCAUUUGGGUCUUGUAAUUGGAAUGAGUACAAUUUAAAGCCUUUAACGAGGAACAAUUGGAGGGCAAGUCUGGUGCCAGCAGCCGCGGUAAUUCCAGCUCCAAUAGCGUAUAUUAAAGUUGUUGCAGUUAAAAAGCUCGUAGUUGAACCUUGGGUCUGGGUGACCGGUCUGCCUAAACGCAUGUACUGGAAGCCCGGAUCUUUCCUUCUGGAGAACCGCAUGCCCUUUACUGGGUGUGUUUGGGGAACCAGGACUUUUACUUUGAAAAAAUUAGAGUGUUCAAAGCAGGCAUUUGCUCGGAAUACAUUAGCAUGGAAUAAUAGAAUAGGACGUGCGGUCCUAUUUUGUUGGUUUCUAGGACCGCCGUAAUGAUUAAUAGGGAUAGUCGGGGGCAUCCGUAUUCGAUUGUCA
rnacentral:rRNA from 1 species